rnacentral:lncRNA from 12 species
GUAAUUUGUGAUUUUUUUUCCCUUCAUGGCACAGCAGAGAGGUUAAAAUGGCGGCACAGGCACCUGAGAGGAGCCGAGCCCAGCGGAGCGGCAGUGUGACCCAGCUCGGAACUCCUGCCUUCAGGGGUCUGUCCGCUGCUGUGUCCAUUGUGUGGGGCUGGGCUGGGACACGCUGCCUGCAGGAGUCCCUCUCCGCCUUGUCCUUGUUCCUGCCAGCUGUGCGGCGUGGCAUGUGGGAGCGGCCGCCAUCUUACCUCUGUCUGUGGAGGCAGUCUGUUCUUUCAUCAAAGGAAAAAUCAUUCUGUACUCUGAAGUUUUGUGUUGGAGACAGACAUCGUAAAGUCUAUGAGGAAGCAGAAGAUGACAUGUCAUACAAAUGGAUCCAGAUUCCACAUCCUUUCAAAAAAACGGGCAUUCCCUUAAAGGCACUGCCACUUCACAGAACCAUAUAA